GUAGUAAGACCCCUUGAAUACCACAAGGUUGAUAGGCCGAGGGUGUAAGCGCAGCAAUGCGUUCAGCCGAUCGGUACUAAUCGGUCGAGGGCUUAAUCGC
rnacentral:rRNA from 1 species